CACAGUAUUGACAAGAAAAGAGUUGUGAAACUUUCUAUCUCGUAAGGAGUUAUGAACGUGAAAUAGUGACACAGACUGGCUACACCAUCUCAUCUGCAGCAGAGAUUGUUGUAUCAGAAGGACAGCGCGUUUGUUUGAUGCACUUUUCACUUCAACUGUGUCUGACAGGAGAAUUAGCUUUCUGAGCCUUCUAGCCGUUGAGUUACCAUGGCAACCGCGUACACAUCAGCUGCUGGAGAGGAGAGGACUCGUCUGACAUUUUCUCUGUUUCUCGUCAGUUAUACCAAAGAAAAGGCCAACAACUGCGACAGAUUUGUUAAGUAACACGUUAAUAUCAUCCACAGUCUACUUUAAGUACUUUUUGUUAAUAUUUAUACCUCUGCGAUUAUGGUAUUUUUCCUGAAAUGUCUGCUAUCAAGUAUUACGCUAGCAUAGAAACAUAAUUAACGUUAUAGCAUAAUAGAUUUGAGCCCUUAUUAAUGAAAGUUUGGCCUUUUAAUUACAUCUUAUGCCUAAAGGAUCGGUUUUGAUCGUUUUGUAAAUGUUUUUGAUGGUAAUUUGUCAAUAGAUAAAUGAAAUAAAGUUAAGCUAAUUAAUUUAACCUAAAAAUCUGCAUUGUAGAGUCUAUCAGUGACGUCACUCGUGGUCUAAAAUGGGCUGAAACUAUUUCAAACCACUGUUUCAAGCUUGUUCUGAUUUAUCAUUGUAAACAAAUAUUGAUAAAAAAAAUUGUACAGUGAUUUCAGGAGUGUCUUAAAAACCCUCUAAAACAGAGGAGAAGUUCCAAGAAAAUGUCUAACGGGACCUGCUGACAGAGAUAGAAAACACAGUUUGUUUAUUUCUAAUAAGGAGCUGGAGGCCGUGAAGAUACAGAUCCAUGAUAUUGUGGAGAAGCAGGCCCAGCUGAGCGAGUGGAGAGCUGUGCUGGAAAUAUUCAGGGGUUGAUGCUCAUAAGUCCAGGGUAAGUAUACAGCUAACCCUACUACCACCUCUACUCUGUGUGGUUCUCUGCAAAGGCCCGGUGUACCCAGGAUGCGAUCUUCCCAGAUGUCCUUCACCCUAUUUCAUAGUGUAAGACAUGAUCCAGGCCCUGGGCGACGACCUCUCUCCAUCCGCCGCCUCCGGUCUUCAGGAUCUCCACCAGAACCCGAUUCGCUCCACUUCGCGAGACAGAACAAAACGCUGUGAUCAUCAGAGACUCCAUCGUCCGGCACGUUUGCGCUAUGUUAGCUGAAGGUAAAGUCCACACUGACUACUUCCCUGGUGCUCAUGUUCUUGAUAUUUCUGCACAGAUUCCCGUGACCCUGAAGAGUGAGGUGGGCAUCAGAGCGGACGGAGACACUGAAGAGGGACUUCAGGAGCCUGAUCAAGACAGUGCGCAGCAUAUCGCCUGCAUGAUGAUCAUCGUGUCAGGACCACUUCCCACGUAUAGAUGAGGACAUGAAAGGCUUUUUAGAUCUCCUGUUGGACAACAUCUCCAGGACACUUCGCUCCAUAUGACUAGGCAGUUUGUGAAAAGAGAUAAUCAAGAGAAGUCAGUUCCAGAUCCACCCUCCACACCAGACCUCUCUCUCACGAGGAUUGCUGUCUACUAGCAUAUUGUGUUCUUCAGCUCUUCAGACUUCGGUGGAUGCAGAUAUUACUCAGGGACAUGAACACUAGAAUAUUGCAAGAAUAGAGAAAAGGGACUUUGCGGGGGAUUCUUGAAAAUAGAUUAGCUUCACACAGACGUCUUCUAACUGUCACAGUACUUACAGGUAACUCCAGACUGUCUUUGAUCAUCCUGGAGGUGAUCAUUGGCUGAGCCUUUGCCAUUCUGGUUAUUCUUCUAUCCAUUUUGAUGGUUGUCUUCCGUUUUCUUCCACGUCUCUCUGGUUUUGCUCUCCAUUUUAAGGCAUUGGAGAUCAUUUUAGCUGAACAGCCUAUCAUUUUUUUGCACCUCUUUAUAGGUUUUCCCCUCUCUAAUCAACUUUUUAAUCAAAGUACGCUGUUCUUCUGAACAAUGUCUUGAACGACCCAUUUUCCUCAGCUUUCAAAUGCAUGUUCAACAAGUGUUGGCUUCAUCCUUAAAUAGGGGCCACCUGAUUCACACCUGUUUCUUCACAAAAUUGAUGACCUCAGUGAUUGAAUGCCACACUGCUAUUUUUUUGAACACACCCCUUUCAACUAAUUCAACUAAUUGCCCAAUUGCACAGCCUUAAGAGCGUGCAUAUCAUGAAUGCUGGGUCUCGUUUGUUUUCUGAGAAUCUACUGAACCUACUGGUAACUUGUUUGCCACGUAGCAAUAAAAAAAUAUACGAAAAACCUUGAUUAUUCUGGUUAGUCACAUUGUACUGCUAUUAUUUUGAACAAUACUGUAUAUAUUUAGAUAUAUUUUUGUGGCAGUGUGAACUGGCCAUAAUGCUGUAUGAUAGGUGUGAGAUUCAUUAAACUUGAUUUGCUAUAAUACAUCUGUUCAUAAGCUAUAGCAUAUUAUUUUCAAUGAAUUAUUUGUAGUGGUUUGGUUAAGGGUGUGAUUAGCUGAAGAUUAUUGUGGGAUCUUGUGAUUAGUUGAUGAAUGUGUGCAUUGUUAAUGAUAAUAUUUAAAUGCAAUGUACUGAGUGCCUACUAAGACUUGCAUGUUGUGCAUAAUGUUUUGACCCUGGAUGCUUACAGAAGGGUAUAGAUAUUUCAAUAUAUGGAAAUGUAUUUAUUAUUAAUAUAUCUCAAUCUAUGUGCUUCUGUAUGGGCUGAAUGCUUUCAUUCAUAUUUCGCUGUAUAUCCUGUUUUUAUUAAUAAUCUGGGUGUAUUACUGUUCAUAUUUGCUUGUUAAUAAAUUAACUGAAUUCA